ensembl:ncRNA K04D7.16 ncRNA
AAGAUUUUCGUUUUCAUUUCCUCUCCUCUUCUCGUUGACAAAAAACGGACAAGUAUAUUCUCGAACAAAAGAAGGGAGAAAAAACGAAAGAAAAAGGGAGAGAAGAGGACGUCUUAAUCUGAAAGGC